rnacentral:rRNA from 1 species
UACAGAGGUCCCAAGCGUUGUUCGGAUUCAUUGGGCGUAAAGGGUGCGUAGGCGGCGCGGUAAGUCGGGUGUGAAAUCUCGGAGCUUAACUCCGAAACUGCAUUCGAUACUGCCGUGCUUGAGGACUGGAGAGGAGACUGGAAUUUACGGUGUAGCGGUGAAAUGCGUAGAUAUCGUAAGGAAGACCAGUGGCGAAGGCGGGGUCUCUGGACAGUUCCUGACGCUGAGGCACGAAGGCCAGGGGAGCAAACGGGG